AACCUACCCCAGAGACAGGGAUAACCCUAGGAAACGAGGGCUAAUACCGGAUGACCUCCGGAAGUGAGGAAAGUGCUCAGGCGCUCUGGGAGUGGGCUUGCGGCCCAUCAGCUAGUUGGUAGGGUAAAGUGCCUACCAAGGCGAAGACGGGUAGGGGGUGUGAGAGCACGGCCCCCCACAAUGGGACUGAAACACGGCCCAUACUCCUACGGGAGGCAGCAGCAGGGAAUAUUGCACAAUAGGCGAAAGCCUGAUGCAGCGACGCCGCGUGAGUGAAGAAGGCCUUCGGGUCGUAAAGCUCUUUUGUAGGGGAAGAGGAAGGACGGUACCCUAAGAAGAAGCGUCGGCUAACUACGUGCCAGCAGCCGCGGUAAGACGUAGGACGCGAGCGUUAUCCGGAAUUACUGGGCGUAAAGGGCCAGCAGGCGGCUUGGUAAGUUGUGCGUGAAAGCCUCGUGCUCAACGCGAGGAAGCCGGACAAUACUGUCAAGCUAGAGGGCAUCAGAGGGGAGUGGAAUUCCCGGAGUAGCGGUAAAAUGCGCAGAUAUCGGGAGGAACACCGAUGGCGAAGGCAGCUCCCUGGGAUGCACCUGACGCUAAGAGGCGAAAGCUAGGGGAGCGAACAGGAUUAGAGACCCUGGUAGUCCUAGCUGUAAACGCUGGGUGCUAGGUGUGGGACGUAGAAGUUCCGUGCCGGAGCAAACGCGAUAAGCACCCCGCCUGGGAAUUACGGUCGCAAGGCUAAAACUCAAACGAAUUGACGGGGCCCCGCACAAGCAGCGGAGCGUGUGGUUCAAUUCGAUGCUACACGA
rnacentral:rRNA from 1 species